UACGAAGGGGGCUAGCGUUGUUCGGAAUUACUGGGCGUAAAGCGCGCGCAGGCGGUUCUUUAAGUCAGGGGUGAAAGCCCAGAGCUCAACUCUGGAAUUGCCUUUGAAACUAGAGAACUAGGGUACGGGAGAGGUGAGUGGAAUUCCGAGUGUAGAGGUGAAAUUCGUAGAUAUUCGGAAGAACACCAGUGGCGAAGGCGGCUCACUGGCCCGUUACCGACGCUCAGGCGCGACAGCGUGGGGAGCAAACAGG
rnacentral:rRNA from 1 species